GACGAACGCUGGCGGCGUGCCUAAUACAUGCAAGUAGGACGCAGUUGCGAACGGGUGAGUAACGCGUAGGUAACUGCCUAUUAGCGGGGGAUAACUAUUGGAAACGAUAGCUAAUACCGCAUACUAGUAGAUGGACCUGCGUUGUAUUAGGUUGUAGGUAGGGUAAUGGCCUACCUAGGCGACGAUACAUAGCCGGCCGGGUGAGGUGGUCGGCCAAAAUGGGACUGGGGAACGGCCCAAAAUCCUACGGGAGGCAGCAGUAGGGAAUCUUCGGCAAUGGGGGGAACCCUGACCGAGCAACGCCGCGGGAGUGAAGAAGGGUUUCGGAUCGUAAAGCUCUGUUGUUAAGGAAGCGGUACUUAACCAGAAAGGGACGGCUAACUACGUGCCAGCAGCCGCGGUAAUAC
rnacentral:rRNA from 1 species